rnacentral:rRNA from 1 species
UACGUAGGGUCCAAGCGUUAAUCGGAAUUACUGGGCGUAAAGCGUGCGCAGGCGGUUGUGUAAGUCAGAUGUGAAAAUCCCCGGGCUCAACCCCGGGAACUGCGUCCGAGACUGAAAGGCUCGAAAUCCGGGAGAGGGAUGUGGAAUUCCAGGUGUAGGCGGUGAAAUGACGUAGAUAUCUGGAGGAAUACCGGUGGCGAAGGCGGCAUCCUGGACCGGCAUUGACGCUGAGGAGCGAAAGCCAGGGGAGCAAACGGG